AUAAACUUCAAAACAUAGAUAGUGUAGUCAGAUUUUGAAAAGUAAGAGUCCCAAAAUUGUGUGAAAACUAUAUGUGAAUACUUAUUACAUUAAGAAAGGUAUGUGUUUAUUUAUUCAUGUUUUUUAUAAUUUUUUAGUCUUUACUCUUCUUGAACAAUCUAAGAUUAGGAUCUUGUUCUCUUUAUACCUUUUGCCUUUUAUUUUUUGGUAAAAUUUCUUUUGUUCACUAGUUAAAUAUAUGUGUUUCUCAAUUUUCUAUUAAAGUAGUUUUUUAGUAUUAAUUUCUCUAUUAUUUUUUAACAAUUAUUUAUGAUACUAAGUUUUUUCCGAUCUAACGUGAUUUUGAUUUGAUUUCAAUUUUUUAAAAGAUUUUUUAUUGAAAAAGAGUCACUUCUAUACUCUAUUUGUUUUCAGUUAAUUCUCUUGUUUCGUUAUAUUAUUAUAAUUUUAAGUUAUAAUAAUCUUAUUUUCACCUUUGUAUUCAAAUAAAGUUAAUUAUUUUGAAAGAAAUAUAAUUAUAGGGAUGUUUAUAAAAUUAUAAAAUCAGAUCAACACUAACAAUUCUUUAAAUGUUCAAAAUUGAAUUUUAAUAAUAAUUUUGUUUAACCAGGUACUAGAUGUUGGAAGACAGAUUGAGAAGUUUUACAUACAAGAUGCACGAAGCGAGACCAAAAGUGAAAAUGAAGCCAACUUCCAACCAUGAAGGAUCAAAGAGUCCCAAAGAUGCAACAACAAAACUCAAUAGCCAACAAUAAUCCAACAAUAAAACUCACAUACCUUAGUUAAGGUGGUGGUGUGAGUAAUAUAAAAAGGAUCUAUAAUAUACCUCAAAUGACAAUAGUGUUAAACAUGAAAUAAAA
rnacentral:lncRNA from 1 species